UACAUAACACUUCAUACAUAACGGUUUUUUUCAAAAACCGUUAUGUAUGAGCGCUUUUUUUGCAAAGAUAACGGUUUUCACAAAAAACCGUUAUCUAUGUACUGUUGUCCAUGGAAAUAGAUAACGGUUUAAGUUAAACCGUUAUGUAUAUGCGUUAUCUAUUAGUUUCAUACAUAACGGUACUACAAAACCGUUAAGCCGACCGUUAUCUAUGAGCAUAUUUUUAUAACGGUUAUUUCAACCGUUAUCUAUGAGCGCCUCUCAAUACUGUUAUGUAUUAACAUUUUUUUUUUCUUUUUUUUAAUCAAGUUUUUCAAGCUUCUGCACCACACUCUUAACACUCUUAACACACCCGCCGCCUCCCCCCAAGCUCCCCCCGGUGACGCCGCCCGGACGACGCUGCACGAGCAACCGGACGCCGAUGCCAGUGAGUCAGUGACCGCCCCCCACCCACCCUGCGUCGCGUCGCCUCUGACGCCGCUCUUCUCGCAGCAGCAGAUCGGGCGGCGGAGCACCCCUCUCCUCCGCUGACGCCGUUCUUCUCGCAGCAGCAGAUCGGGCGGCGGAGCACCCCUCUCCUCAGCUGACGCCGCUCUUCUCGCAGCAGCAGCAGCAGAUCGAGCUUUUUGCUUCUCCGUCUGCCACCUACCGCACCCGUCUCUCUCUCUCUCCGUCCGUUAACCCUAGCAGCCGCCGUCGGUCGAGCUCUCAAUCGCAGACCCUAGGAGCUGCCGCUGUCGCCGCCGCCUUCUACAAUAGCCACCACCAAGGUGUGUCGAGUCAGGUGUAUCAUAUCUCAACACUAAAGUGGAAAGGAUUAUUGAAGCUUCAGGAGGCCAUAGACUUGUAGAGUGUGAAGGCAACAUUGUGAUUCCCUGCAGGCAGAUGAGAUGAUCGUUUCAGUAACUGGAGCCACUGGGUUCAUAGGUAAAAGAUUGGUGCAGAGAUUGCUUGCAGG